rnacentral:lncRNA from 1 species
CAUAAACUAAGUUGAGUCUGUUUAAAAAUGUUCAAAUUAUAUUGUAUAUUUUCAAUGAUCUGCCACCAGAUUGCUAAUAUCCUCAUCCUUUUUUAAUGAUCCUUUUUUAGAUCUGCAGAUGUGCUUAAAAGAAGCAAAGAAUAGAAUAAUCCAUCUACCAAGAGUUUGUGUAAGGUUACGCCGAGACAAAGCCAUUAAACUGCAACACCGAGACAAUAACAACCACAGACACGUGGACUAAACUCUUAAUCUGAGCCCACAUGGAGCAAACAGACUCCCCCCUACCAAAACACCCACCCACCCGCACGGCAUCCCGAUCCACUCUAGUUGUAUGAUGAGCUAUUGUUCAGCUUCUGUGAUGGUGGAGGGGGGGAAUAGCCUCACUGUCUCUAAAAGAAUGCCGCCAAAGAAGUGACCUGAGUAACAAAGGAGGUACUUACGUUGAAGAGCCUCACAUGGUCCUCCCACAGAGAGAAAGAGCGUGGUUAUUCCAGUCCGGAGGACAAAAAACAGCAGAACAACAGCAACCUCAGAGAGGACGAAGAGAGAGGGUAGAUGGAGAAGAAAGGUUUUCCCUUCGCUACACUAAACCCAAGUGGGCCACAGUAGCCGAGUGAUGACACAUGCGCAUGAAGCACGCACCUCACAGUAUCCUUCAGGGACAAAUUAUCAUCGCAAAGGACGAAUGAGAGGAAUUCCCAGAGGUGCCAGCGACUCCGUGGCCUGAAGCUUUUUCAGCAUGGUUGACUUACUUGCUCUUGCUCAUGUUUUACACUGUAUAUAGUCUGUAUAUAAUGACCUUUACUAGUGCAAUUACAAGCUCACAACACCAUCAUGCAGCACCAAUGCACAAUGUCUCUCAUAUUUUGAACAUGUACUAAUGGCAUGAUAAAUAAAACUGCUGUUUUUAAAUCCUAAAUGCAACUUUAAAGCAGCACAGUUGGGAUUUUUCAACUGAAUUGGAUUACAAACACAAAGAAAUCACAUAGAAAUCUAAACAUAACCCAAGUGUCAAAGUGCAACCAUGUGUACAUGUAAACUCAGUGGUUCUGCAUUAGAAUUUAUUGUGUGGGUGUGGGUUUGUCUUACUGUAAUACAUUUCAGAUCAGUGAGGUGAUGGUGUGGCGGCUCCUCUUUAAUAAAAUGGAGGUUUCAUGUGCAAAAUGCGAUUGCGUAAGUUUCUGACCUCUCUGUAGGCACAGCGUUUUGGUAUCAUUGGAUCCUCCAGGGGUCCUGGUGCAGCCUAAACCUGAUGUCACGACACAAACUGGCCUUGUUAUUCCUUAUGCAUCUGCCUACAAGACCUCUG